GUGCUUGCUUCAGCAGCGCAUAUACUAAAAUUGGAAUAAUAACAGAGAAGAUUAGCGUGGCCCUGGUGCAAGGAUGACACACAAAUUCAUGACGUGUUCCAUAUUUUU
ensembl:snRNA U6 U6 spliceosomal RNA